rnacentral:rRNA from 1 species
GAUGAACGCUGGCGGCGUGCCUAAUACAUGCAAGUCGAGCGAACAGACGAGGAGCUUGCUCCUCUGACGUUAGCGGCGGACGGGUGAGUAACACGUGGAUAACCUACCUAUAAGACUGGGAUAAAUUCGGGAAACCGGAGCUAAUACCGGAUAAUAUAUUGAACCGCAUGGUUCAAUAGUGAAAGACGGUUUUGCUGUCACUUAUAGAUGGAUCCGCGCCGCAUUAGCUAGUUGGUAAGGUAACGGCUUACCAAGGCAACGAUGCGUAGCCGACCUGAGCGGGUGAUCGGCCACACUGGAACUGGAGCACGGUCCAGACUCCUACGGGAGGCAGCAGUAGGGAAUCUUCCGCAAUGGGCGAAAGCCUGACGGAGCAACGCCGCGUGAGUGAUGAAGGUCUUCGGAUCGUAAAACUCUGUUAUUAGGGAAGAACAAAUGUGUAAGUAACUAUGCACGUCUUGACGGUACCUAAUCAGAAAGCCACGGCUAACUACGUG